UACGCUCGGUGAGGGUAUAAAUAGUCUAUCACCGGCCCAGAAACGUCACACUCUCGUCGUCUGAAGAUCUAGAAGGCAGGCCGAUACUCGGAGGAUUAUAAGGAGCUGCAGUAUAAAAUGAUAUGCUUUGGAAGAAAGCUGGGGAUAAGUCAAUGUUUACGGGAUAAAGUACCAACUAGUCAAACGACUGACACACAGCACAGUUCACUUAUUACCUGAGGGUUCGAUUUUGACAGACACUCAGCCCGUCACCUAAAAUGACGUUAGGGAAACUGUUUUAUGUCGGUGUGUACAUCACCCAGAGACACCACAUCCUACCCUUCAGUGGCCUGCUGGCAAGAGAGAGCGCCAAGUCCGCUGUACGGAAGGGAUAUAGCUAUUACGUAAUGGGGAUGAUGAUAAGGAGAAAGAAGUUAUCACACUUGUGCAUGUAUUCCAAUCAACCAGCUGUGGAUGCAAACGUGCACAAGCAAAUGCAAAUGUUGUAUGAUACCAUAUAAUAUCUCAUUCCAUAGGUCAAAAUGGUUGAACUAGUAUAGGGUACGAAGUUCAAAAUGAACUGGUAUGGCCGAAAUGGAGACAUGAUAUAUGAGAUUACUGAACAAAAUUUAAGAGAAAAUAUUUUCUUGUUAAAAUACUCACAUCUGUGAACUGCUUGAGUUUUGUUUUAUAUGUUUGAAGGUGAACCAGCGUUAGCUAACAUUUACUAAGCACUAUUAGUGUUUCUUACUCUUCAGUUUUACGGUAGAAAAUCCGAUCAUUAUGUGUUCAUGAUGCGACCACGCGUCUGUGAUCAGCGUCGGAUCUCAACUCAUUAGUGAAGCGAUCUCGUGAACUUAAUUACUUUAAUAUAUAUAU